rnacentral:lncRNA from 10 species
UUCUUGGCAAUUCACAUGCAAACACUGGGCAUCCAUUCACAGAAUUUCUCAGUUUGUUUAGGAGAAGUUGUGAUGUUCAUUUGCAAUAGGGUUUUGGCAAACUCCUGACAGAGAAUUUCUUUAUAAAAAAGGACAGAGCACUUAAUUUGGCAUGGUUCUUUCAUGUGUAGGUUUGUAUUUCCUGUCUUCUAGUUUCCUUAAAAAUAUGCAGAAACACACACAUACCCAUUCAUUAAGCACUUUGAAGCAGCAGUUUGUAAUAUUUCCAAACAAAACAGUACUUUACCAACAUGGUUCAGUGUCUCAAACAUCUCUUUUCUAUUGAAUUCUACCAACUGAUAUUUGAGACAAAAAAGGAAGCCAAAAAUGUAGGUUCUGGCUAGUUGCAUAGUGUGUUGCUUGUGGUAAAGGAAGAUUCAAAUCAAUUCUAAUCCAAGAGAAAUAUCAGGAGUCAUCAUAUUGUUCAGGGUGUGAAUAUCCUAGAACUGAUUUCUUUGCAAAGCCUACUUCUUCCCUAUGAACUUUUCUUUUGAAGCAAAUGGUAAGCUUUUUUUGUAAUGUAAAAAUGAUAAUUUUUUUUCUUUUUGAAACAAAUGGUAAGCUUUUGUUUGUAAUGUAAAAGUGAUAAAGCUGUGAUAUAUUAAACAUAUAUUAUUUAUAACAAUGGCUUGAAUUACUAUAAUCAUUACCUCUAUCACUGUUAAUCAUUCAAACACAGCUAAUUCUAAGUCCUCAAGUGCUCAGAAAACAACAUUAAAAAGUCUGACAUUUGAAAAGUAUGGAAUUAAACAUCAUGGAACUGGCUUUAAGAAGGUAUCCAUUCGUGGCAUGAAAAUGUGAAGAACUUUCUUUCUUUGCAAUGUGAGUUCAAGGAAACGCCCAAGAGUGGAUGUUCCAUCGUAAAUGCUCUGCCCCCAGCUUUUCAAAGGACACAGAAAUUGCACCCAGCAAAGAUGUCCUGUCAAAAUGAUUUAAAAGAAGAAAAAGAAAGUUGCUAGAGGGGAACUGGUACUCCAGAUCAAAAAACAAUUUUAAGUGGUCUAUUUUGGUGGUCUGUGUUGAGACAUAUAACAGCCCAGGCUGCUGUUUUUCCAAGAGGUUAAAUUUCAAAAAGAGGAAACAACAGCAAACAGGCUGCCAAUUUACUCAACAAUGUCACAACUGGCUGGAGCUCUGUUCAAAGCAAAACCGCUGAUUUACAAAUUCCUGGAUUUACUCUUAAAUAUUAACACUUCUUAGGAAACUUUAGACCUUACAUGUCACAUUUAUGACUCCUAGGCAGACACAACCCUCUCCAAACACAUGGUCCUCAUGACAACUCUUUGCCAUGUAUUUCAGCCCCACUAAGGGAAGCCACUGUCAACUCAACCUGUGAUGCCAAGAAGCAGCCCAGGUACCAAGGGACAUAGACUGGAGUCAACAUUAGAUGCGUUUCUGUAUGGUGUAGCUUGGAGGAGGAUGUUUACAGCACAAUUCCGCAAUAAUAUGCUGUAGCAGACAGAAGUUUCCCUUCUAUCAGACAAAGAACUAGUCAGGGAAGGCAAGCUGGCUAGACCACGGUUCAGUUUUUCUCAUCUCCUUUCUGCAAGUGGAAAAUCUGCUGGCUGGCAGUGGAAAUAAUAGGGAAACCACCUCAGAAUGUUGGAGAAGAGGAUGGGGGAGGAGUUGCAGCUCAGGAAUCCUUCAAAGAAGACAUGUGGGGAGAGGAAGACAGCACACAGAAGCAGGGAGAAGUUAAGAGUAUGAACCUUACCAACAGGUAAAAAUGUGUCAUAUUAAUUUUUUCAACAUCAACAAACACGUCAAAAGAUGGAGCACUGAAAGCUGCAUUUUAAACAAAUGCCCCAGGUAAUGUAUACUGAAAAUGCAAUCCUGAUGUCCUAGGUGGCAGGAUUAUUGUUGUUGGAGAAUGCUCCUGUAAAUUUCUUUUCCAGUCUUCUCUCCUCACUUUCCAUGCCUAAGGAGUCUAAGUCCCACUGCCCCUGCUAAUUGUCCCUGGUUAAUUAGAAUGGAGAAUGACCCCUGAACCAACAUGGGCCCAUGAGCCGCACUGGUGAAUUGUCAUUCAGACCCAAAGGCUAGUCAGUCUCCCUGGGCAUUGAGAAGCAACAGAAAGCAAGUAUGUUCUUUGAUUACAGACUAAUUUUCUAGCCCCAGAGUUGGAACUAAAAUAUGCAGAUAGGAUAGUGGCAAGAGACAGACAAAUGCCUAGGCAGAUAAGGGGUGUCCCUGGAGAACCUCUGACCUGCCCAGGUCAUUGUGCACCAGGGUUUUGCCUAAACAUGCCCAUGGUGAAAAAUUUCAUCCCUUAACACAUGCAGUGUACAGUGGCUCAGACUAAGGGCCUGCAGGCACAUUGGAAAGACAGGGUAGAGCCACCAAAAAUUCGCUCCUUAUGCAGGGGAAGAGCCUGGCCUCCAGCUUGUGUGUGGUGGCCUGGUAUUCAAUUUGUGAGAUGGAAACCUGUGUCCAGGACCCCUCUCUUUGCUGACAGCUUUCCUUUCGCUUAAUAAAUUCCAUCCUCCUCACCUGUCAAUGUGUCCACAUGCCUAAUUUUUCCUGGUUUGAGACAAGAACCCGGAUUUAGCUCAACUAACAAGCAAAAAAUCCUGCAUCAGAUCUACAGAUAGAUAGACAUAGAUCUAGAUAUAGAUACAGAUACAGGUGUAGACACAGAUGUAGAUACAAAUACAGAUAAACGUAUCUUUACAGAGAACACACCCACAUAGUAUGAGUAAAACAAAAAAUUAACACCACUCCCCACGCCAAGUGUGUAAAAAGAGGACACUAGCUUAAGAGAAAUAAAGUCUUGUGGCUUAUUUCCCAGGAAGAUGAUAGUGUAUGCCAAAAAUGGAUGUAAUAUUUAGUCUCAGUUGAGAUUGCCUGUCUUACAUUUAAGGCAGAUGGGCUUCAACUACUAUAGCAGAUAGUUGGUGACCUAAGGCAGAAAGCUUUGUUACAAGGUGGCAGAUGGAAGGAGAGAGGUACAAACUCCCAAAAAUGACUCUCCCAGAGUCUCUUAAAAUACUCCUGGACAGGGAUGAUCAUCUUUGGCCCAUUUGCCAAGAAAAACUGAGAACAGAUUCCAUAAAGAAAAAAUUAAACAGAUAUGAGUAGAGAAAUGUGUCCUGCCCUUGGUUUGUAUGAGAUAUCAUAGAUUCCUCCUAAAAAAUCCCUUGCCUUGAUUUUUUUUCUUGAUAUCACAUGUGUAGUUUUCUGUUCUUUGUAAUGAAUUAAUUCCUAACCAAGAUAGCCACAAUAGGCAAACAAUUAGAAAUAUUAGACAUGAAUUUACAGGGUACCUUGGCUAUUUGUUUCAUUGAUGCCUGAAAUUCCAUAUUGGGUUUUUAUUUUUUAUGUCAUUUUUAAUUUCAUGUCAUUCUUUUGGUUUCCACUCAUUCAAAUAUAAAUAUCUCUGAGAAUAGCAAUUACUCCUAAGUCCAUACAUUGAGUAUACCCUCAGAAUUAUAUCAGAAAUUUUUCUUGUGAACACUUUUUGGUAGAGAAAAAAGCACCUGAUGUGGUAGGAGGGGUGGAAGUGAUGCUACUGUCCUUGCUGCCAACUUCCUCUACAGUGACUGCCCCUGCCACUGUGGGCUUCCUAAAGAUGGGGGUCUUCGUUCCUAAAGGAUGAUUCGGAGAGCCCCUUCUUACUGUGUUCUACCUGGCAGGAGUUGAGUUAGGCAUUUCAGAUGUAUUCAGGCAGGAAUUUCUCACAAUAACCCUAUGAUGUUGGCAUUAUUAUUAAUGUUCUACAGAUGAAGACUUACAGACUUAGAGGAUCAGAGUGGUAAAGAAACUAGCUCAGAAAGAGCUGAAUUGGAAUCCAGGUCUGUCUGCCUGACUCAAAGUCUGUGGGUUUUUUUGUUUUGUUUUUUUUGAGACGGAGUCUCGCUCUGUCACCCAG